UUGCCAUCAUCAUCGUCAUCGUGACGGCUGUAACACAUUGUUGUGCGAGUGUAUGCGCUCUAACAAGAUACGCGGUUUCUUCUGUUCCAGCCAGCAUACUUGGACGUCAUCAACGAAAGUCACAUGCACUGUGUUCCACUGGGUUCAGAGACUCACUUCAAGGUUGUCGAUGUAUCGCAGAAGGUUGACGAUCUGCCGCUGAUAAAGCGUCAUCGGCUGGUGAAUGAGAUCGUGAAGGAGGAGCGACCAUGCACGCUCUCUCCAUUACCGUG